rnacentral:tRNA from 1 species
GUUUCCGUAGUGUAGCGGUUAUCACGUCUGCUUCACACGCAGAGGGUCCCCGGUUCGAUCCCGGGCGGCAACA